AUUGAACGCUGGCGGCAGGCCUAACACAUGCAAGUCGAAUGGUAACAGGAAACAGCUUGCUGUUUCGCUGACGAGUGGCGGACGGGUGAGUAAUGUCUGGGAAACUGCCUGAUGGAGGGGGAUAACUACUGGAAACGGUAGCUAAUACCGCAUAACGUCGCAAGACCAAAGAGGGGGACCUUCGGGCCUCUUGCCAUCAGAUGUGCCCAGAUGGGAUUAGCUAGUAGGUGGGGUAACGGCUCACCUAGGCGACGAUCCCUAGCUGGUCUGAGAGGAUGACCAGCCAACCUGGAACUGAGACACGGUCCAGACUCCUACGGGAGGCAGCAGUGGGGAAUAUUGCACAAUGGGCGCAAGCCUGAUGCAGCCAUGCCGCGUGUAUGAAGAAGGCCUUCGGGUUGUAAAGUACUUUCAGCGGGGAGGAAGGGAGUAAAGUUAAUACCUUUGCUCAUGGACGUUACCAGCAGAAGAAGCACCGGCUAACUCCGU
rnacentral:rRNA from 1 species